GCUUGUGUAGAUUACGUAGAUCAUGGUGCUGUUAACGCCAAGGAGGGAUUUAUUCUCAUAGGCG
rnacentral:tRNA from 1 species